rnacentral:rRNA from 1 species
CCUACGGGUGGCUGCAGUGGGGAAUAUUGGGCAAUGGAGGCAACUCUGACCCAGCAACGCCGCGUGAAUGAUGAAGGUCUUCGGAUUGUAAAGAUCUGUGAUCGGGGAUGAAUACAAUGACGGUACCACAAUAGCACGCCACGGCUAACGACGUGCCAGCCGCCGCGGUAAUACGUAGGUGGCAAGCGUUAGCCGGAUUGACUGGGCGUAAAGGGUGCGUAGGGGGUUUAGGAAGUUGGCGGUGAAAUUCCGGGGCUCAACCCCGGCGCUGCCGCUGAAACUAUUAGUCUAGAGUGCAGGAGAGGUAAGUGGAAUUCCUAGUGUAGCGGUGGAAUGCGUAGAUAUUAGGAGGAACAUCAGGGGCGAAGGCGACUUACUGGACUGUAACUGACGCUGAGGCACGAAAGCGUGGGGAGCAAACAGGAUUAGAUACCCGUGUAGUC